rnacentral:rRNA from 1 species
AGUGAAUAGAUACCCAGGUAGUCCUAGCCGUAAACGAUACUCGCUAGGUGUCGGCCACGGUGCGACCGUUGUCGGUGCCGUAGGGAAAGCCGUGAAGCGAGCCACCUGGGAAGUACGGCCGCAAGGCUGAAACUUAAAGGAAUUGGCGGGGGAGCACCACAACGGGUGGAGCUUGCGGUUUAAAUUGGAUUCAACGCCGGAAAUCUUACCGGGACCGACAGCAAUACGAAGGCCAGGCUGAAGACUUUGUCCGGAUUAGCUGAGAGGUGGUGCACGGCCGUCGUCAGUUCGUACUGUGAAAGCAUCCUGUUAAGUCAGGCAACGAGCGAGACCCACGCCCACAGUUGCCAGCGUACUCUCCGGAGUGACGGGUACACUGUGGGGACCGCCGCUGCUAAAGCGGAGGAAGGAAUGGCAACGGUAGGUCAGUAUGCCCCGAAUAUCCCGGGCUACACGCGAGCUACAAUGGUUGGUACAAUGGGUAUCUACCCCG